UACGAAGGGGGCUAGCGUUGCUCGGAAUCACUGGGCGUAAAGCGCACGUAGGCGGCUUCUUAAGUCAGGGGUGAAAUCCUGGAGCUCAACUCCAGAACUGCCUUUGAUACUGAGGAGCUUGAGUCCGGGAGAGGUGAGUGGAACUGGCGAGUGUAGAGGUGAAAUUCGUAGAUAUCGCAAGAACACCAGUGGCGAAGGCGGCUCACUGGCCCGGUACUGACGC
rnacentral:rRNA from 1 species